rnacentral:rRNA from 1 species
CCCUUAGACGUUCUGGGCCGCACGCGCGCUACACUGACGAAGGCAACGAGCUACUCUUCACCGAAAGGUGUGGGUAAUCUUUUGAAACUUCGUCGUGCUGGGGGUAUAUCCUUGCAAUUUUUGAUCUUAAACGAGGAAUUCCUAGUAAGCGCAAGUCAUCAACUUGCGUUGAUUACGUCCCUGCCCUUUGUACACACCGCCCGUCGCUACUACCGAUUGAAUGGUUUAGUGAGGCCUUCGGAUCCGCGAUUUUAUUGUGGAGAAGUUGGACAAACUCAGUCAUUUAGAGGAAGUAAAAGUCGUAACA